GACAGUGGUGACACACAUAUAUAUAUCUCUGUGUCUCCCCUAAAAGACUCGUUUUGUGUUUCCUGGUACGUGCGGGUUAACACUUAAGGCUCCCCCCUGGGAUUAGAGCUCAAGAUUAAACUUAAGGAAUUGACGGGAACCGCACAAGCAGUGGAGUAUGUCGUUAAUUCGUGCUACGCGAGAACAUACCGAUCCUUGACAUCUGGUCGCGACUUCCAGAGAUGGUGUCUCAAUUCGGUUGGACCAAAGACAGAUGCUGCAUGGCUGUCGUCAGCUCGUGUCGUGAGAUGUUAGGUUAAGUCCUGCAACGAGCGCAACCCACGCCCUAUGUUGCCAGCGGGUAAUGCCGGGAACUCUUAGGGGACUGCCCGCGUCAAGCGGGAGGAAGGUGUGGAUGACGUCAAGUCAUCAUGGUUCUUACGGGUCGGGCUACAAACGUACUACAAUGGCGUAAACAAAGGGAAGCAGAGUCGUGAGGCCGAGCGAAUCCCUAAAAACCGUCUCAGAUCGGAUUGUAGUCUGCAACUCGACUACAUGAAGCUGGAAUCGCUAGUAAUCGUGAAUCAGAAUGCCACGGUGAAUACGUUCCCGGGUCUUGUACACACCGCCCGUCACACCAUGGGAGUCGGUAACGCCCGAAGUGCGUGACUCAACCGCAAGGAGAGAGCGCCCGAAGGCGGGACUGAUAACUGGGGGGAAGUCGUAACAAGGUAGCCGUAUCGGAAGGUGCGUCUGGAUCACCUCCUUCUGAUC
rnacentral:rRNA from 1 species